rnacentral:snRNA from 1 species
ACUCAUACUUUGCAGGGGAAAUGCCAUGUCAUAAAAGUGGUUUUUCCAGGGGGAGGCUCAUCCAUUGCACUUUGGGUGUGCUGCUGCUCCCUGUGAUUUUCCAAAAUGUAGGGAACUCAAAUGCAUAAUUUGUGUUAAUGGGGGGUUAUGUUUGUGAUUUUCCUGG